rnacentral:rRNA from 1 species
CGUGAGAUGUUGGGUUAAGUCCCGCAACGAGCGCAACCCCUAUCCUAUGUUACCAGCGGGUAAUGCCGGGGACUCAUAGGAGACUGCCAAGGACAACUUGGAGGAAGGCGGGGAUGACGUCAAGUCAUCAUGCCCCUUAUGUCUUGGGCUACACACGUACUACAAUGGUCGGCAACAGAGGGAAGCGAAGCCGUGAGGCAGAGCAAACCCCAGAAACCCGAUCUCAGUUCGGAUUCAGGCUGCAACUCGCCUGCA